rnacentral:rRNA from 1 species
UACGUAGGGGGGCAAGCGUUGUCCGGAUUUAUUGGGCGUAAAGAGCGUGUAGGCGGCUUUACAGGUCCGUUGUGAAAACUCGAGGCUCAACCUCGAGACGCCGGUGGAAACCGUAAAGCUAGAGUCCGGAAGAGGAGAGUGGAAUCCUGGUGUAGCGGUGAAAUGCGCAGAUAUCAGGAGGAACACCCGUGGCGAAAGCGGCUCUCUGGGAACGGUACUGACGCUGAGGUGCGAAAGCGUGGGGAGCAAACAGG